rnacentral:rRNA from 1 species
AUGCAAAUCAUCAUACUAAUUAGAAGAGCAUACGUUGUGCCUCCUUGGUCACUACAUCGAGCCCAGUCUUCUUGGCAGUCGCCUCGGCCUUGGCAGCAUGCAGCCCCUGCCCCUGGUGUGUCCACGAUGGUUCGGACGAUUCUCCAGUCCGUGCUACCAAUCCUUAUGAACUACCAAGUUUCAGUACCAGUGCAAAACAAGAGUAAAUAUUCACAUCAACCUAGUGCAAAGCUAGCUACCUCGCACUUGCAUCUGCCAUUCAGAAAAAUGUGUAUGACAAGAUGGUUUUAUAAGAUCUUAUUAUGCAAUUUCCCAAUGAAAGUUCUAAUGCAGACACAUUAA